rnacentral:lncRNA from 1 species
GCCAGAAUCAGCUGCCAUUCGCUGAACUGAGACAAGAACAACUUAUGUCCCUGAUGCCAAAAAUGCACCUACUCUUUCCUCUAACUCUGGUGAGGUCAUUCUGGAGUGACAUGAUGGACUCCGCACAGAGCUUCAUAACCUCUUCAUGGACUUUUUAUCUUCAAGCCGAUGACGGAAAAAUAGUUAUAUUCCAGCCAGAAAUCCAGUACGCACCACAUUUGGAGCAGGAGCCUACAAAUUUGAGAGAAUCAUCUCUAAGCAAAAUGUCCUAUCUGCAAAUGAGAAAUUCACAAGCGCACAGGAAUUUUCUUGAAGAUGGAGAAAGUGAUGGCUUUUUAAGAUGCCUCUCUCUUAACUCUGGGUGGAUUUUAACUACAACUCUUGUCCUCUCGGUGAUGGUAUUGCUUUGGAUUUGUUGUGCAACUGUUGCUACAGCUGUGGAGCAGUAUGUUCCCUCUGAGAAGCUGAGUAUCUAUGGUGACUUGGAGUUUAUGAAUGAACAAAAGCUAAACAGAUAUCCAGCUUCUUCUCUUGUGGUUGUUAGAUCUAAAACUGAAGAUCAUGAAGAAGCAGGGCCUCUACCUACAAAAGUGAAUCUUGCUCAUUCUGAAAUUUAAGCAUUUUUCUUUUAAAAGACAAGUGUAAUAGACAUCUAAAAUUCCACUCCUCAUAGAGCUUUUAAAAUGGUUUCAUUGGAUAUAGGCCUUAAGAAAUCACUAUAAAAUGCAAAUAAAGUUACUCAAAUCUGUGAAGACUGUAUUUGCUAUAACUUUAUUGGUAUUGUUUUUGUAGUAAUUUAAGAGGUGGAUGUUUGGGAUUGUAUUAUUAUUUUACUAAUAUCUGUAGCUAUUUUGUUUUUUGCUUUGGUUAUUGUUUUUUUCCCUUUUCUUAGCUAUGAGCUGAUCAUUGCUCCUUCUCACCUCCUGCCAUGAUACUGUCAGUUACCUUAGUUAACAAGCUGAAUAUUUAGUAGAAAUGAUGCUUCUGCUCAGGAAUGGCCCACAAAUCUGUAAUUUGAAAUUUAGCAGGAAAUGACCUUUAAUGACACUACAUUUUCAGGAACUGAAAUCAUUAAAAUUUUAUUUGAAUAA